GCCCGGCUGGCUUAGUUGGUAGAGAGUCUGACUCUUGAUCUUGGGGUUGUGAGUUCAAGCCCCAUGUUGGGUA
rnacentral:tRNA from 1 species